ensembl:lncRNA
AUGCAGGAGUUACGUGAGACAGUGGGUGAACUUCGGAGACAGGUUAGAAGGAUCAAACAGGGACAGGAAGAGGUUGAAGAUAACUUAGGAAAAAUUGAAUUUAGAGAAGAAGCUCAGGUGGUUCGCCCUAAAAUCUCCCAACAAACUAUAUUUAAAAAACAGGACAGUCAAAAAUCUGCAUUAAACGUCUUUAAAACACUUAGCAAUCAAACAAAACAAGUGAAAAGAGCUGAUCCCUCAGGAGGAUUUGCCAGGGCUGAGCGCAGGAAGGAGAAGGCAAGAUUGGUUUAUGGCAAUGAUAAAGAGGAGAGCGAGAAUAAGACAGAUACCUUCAAAAUUCCGGCUACAUUUAUUGGAGAAUUGGAGGUUCAGGAGCCUGUUGAAGCUCAGACAGAAUUAUAUGAAUUAGAAUCAUGGGAAGAGAGUGAGUGUGAGUAUAGAGGUGUACCGUUGACCGGGGCCAUACAUAAUGAGGAGGCGGGUCAGAUAGGAAUACACACGCGGAGUAAAGGGCCCAUUUUAGGAAUGCCGCAGUUCCAGGCCCCUCUGAUACAGAAAAGAGGAGGACAGGAACCAGUAUAUGUUCCAUUUGCUAUCACAGACACUAAUUGUUUGGUGGAUAAGAUGCCCCCACCCGCAGAGGGAGGCGGCAAGUGGAUGUCUACCCUUUUCAGUUUAACACAGAGCAUGCAGCUGGCGAUGGGAGACUUUAGAGGAAUUUUAGGGAGACAAGUGUCUCUCUGGGAUUUGGAUAAAGUUGAGGUAGCAGCAGGCAUUAAAGACAGACCUAAUGCUGCACGUUUUGGCCCAUGUGCAACCAGGGUUGGUGAAGCUAUGAGACAGAUAUUUCCAGUAUCUCCAGGAGCAAUGCAGAAUUUAAGAUUUAAGUGGGGGGAAAGUGAGUCGGCACAUGGGUUCCUUACGAGGUGUAAAGAGGAAUGGAUGUGUGCCACAGGGUGCCAUCCUGGUUCUAAACAACAGGGAAAGAAAGAGGGGGUGAUGACAGCGCAGGAACAGCUCCUAAAAAUGCAGUUAGAUGAAGCACGGAAAAAGCUAAAUGAUAAACACAAGGAAGAGAAACAGAUGGUUCAGCGGUUUUCUCGGCAGGUGCAGCCAGAUCAGUUAGGUCCGCAACAAGAUUUUGCUCCGAUAAACCCGUAUUGGGUCAGUCCAAGGGGAGGCAUGUGUGGGAGACGCGGCAGGCAGGGAUAUGGCUUGAUAGGCGGGUACUUAGGCCGAGAUCAGUGUCACGCCUGCAAAGGGUAUGGUCAUUGGCAAAGGGACUGUCCAUAUCACAACUACCCGGAGGUACCAGGCAGUGUUCCACCAUCUCAUGGAAUUUAUCACCGGAGCUGA